rnacentral:tRNA from 59 species
GCGCCCUUAGCUCAGCUGGAUAGAGCACGUCCCUUCUAAGGAUGUGGUCGUAGGUUCGAAUCCUACAGGGCGCGCCA